AGAAUGACAGCAUCUUAAGGAAGAUGAUUCAUAGCCUUCAAAGAAGAUAUGCCAACCAUUCAAGGGGAUUUGAGGGUAAUAUAUCCUUACCUGGGUCAGGUUAGAUUGAUGGGCCUGAUUUAUGCAUUUGAUAUUGUUUAUCUAUUGGCCAUCUUCCUCCUGGACAGAGCUCUGAGUAAAAAAAUAAUAGUAAAACACUAGCUACCUUAUCACAUGAGACUAUUCUUCAAAGGUUUAGAGAUUUCUCACUCUCUAUUUGUUCCCUUAUUUUCAGGAGGGAAACUGCCAGGAUCAUUUUGUUUGUUUAUUUUCAAUGAAGAUUGGUGUGACUUGCUUUUCUCCUGUUUUCUGGUGUUGAAGUUAUCAUGGGUCCCCUAAUGAGCAGACACUGGAGGAAGAGACAAAUGCAGGGCCGGCUCCAGCUUUUUUGCCGCCCCAAGCGGCGAAGAAAAAAAGAAAAACCCGAUUGAGCUGCUGCCGAAGUGCCGCCAAAGACGAAAAGAGGGAGUGAAGGGCCUGCCGCCGAAUUGCCGCCGCAGACCCGGACGUGCCGCCCCAAUAAUGGACGGACUGCCGCCCCUUUCUAUUGGCCACCCCAGGCACCUGCUUCCUUCGUUGGUGCCUGGAGCCGGCCCUGGACAAAUGAUAAAUAUAUUUGAGAAACAUAAGCUACCUAAUAUAGCUUUUCCAUAUGUAAGUGUGACAGCUUUACAGUCCAAUAUCUCAGGAUCCUCUCAAGCCAGAGGCAAGUGCUGAGUCCAGCACUGAAAAGCGGAGACUUUCCCAUUUAUAGUGACUCAUAAGGACCAGGGUCACAACCACGGUGGAUAAAAAUCAAUGAUUUAAAAUAAAGAAACAAAAACAAA